rnacentral:rRNA from 1 species
UACGAAGGGGGCUAGCGUUGCUCGGAAUCACUGGGCGUAAAGGGUGCGUAGGCGGGUAUGUAAGUCAGUGGUGAAAUCCCCGAGCUUAACUCGGGAACUGCCAUUGAUACUAUAUAUCUUGAAUAUUCUGGAGGUAUGCGGAAUAUGUCAUGUAGCGGUGAAAUGCUUAGAGAUGACAUAGAACACCUAUUGCGAAGGCAGCAUACUACGGAAAGAUUGACGCUGAGGCACGAAAGUGUGGGGAUCAAACAGG